AACGCGAAGCAACCUUACCUGGGCUUGGAAACCCCUGGAAUCCUGCAGAGAUGUGGGAGUGCUCUUUUAGAGAACCAGGUGUCCAGAGUGCUGCAUGGCUUGUCGUCAGCUCGCUGUCGUGAGAUGUUGGGUUAAGUCCCGCAACGAGCGCAACCCCUGGUUGCCAGUUGCCAGCGGUUCGGCCGGGCACUCUGGCGACACUGCCGGUGGUAAGCCGGAGGAAGGUGGGGAUGACGUCAAGUCCUCAUGGGCCCUUAUGCCCGGGGCUACACACGUACUUACAUGGCCGGUACAAAGGGCUGCGAACCCGCGAGGGGGAGCCAAUCCAAAAUGCCGGCCUCAGUUCGGAUUGC
rnacentral:rRNA from 1 species